AGAAGGUGGAUUCACUAGGCCACUGCGGGAGAUAGGUAUUUAACUUCCUAAUGAACCAUGAAAAUGAAUACAAAAAGUGCCCAUUUCAUUGAAAUUCCCAAAACAAAUCAAAAACUAGCUGAACGUUACUCCCACAAAAUAAACAAGAUUGGAGGUUUUGAUCCAUUUGCCAUUUAAGAAAGAGAUAUACGAGGUUACAGUCCUGAUGGAAUAUUAUGAUAUUGUGGUUUUUCUAGUUUUCACGACCAGUUUUUAAACAAAUCAGCAAAUGAAAGCCUACAAAUGCUCGCAUUAUAUCUGGGUUUUGCUGUUUGAAACAAAAUAUUCUGUGAGAAGUUUUUCACAAAAGGGUCAGUACAGAUGAAUAGGUGUACAUGUAGAGAAGGGAAAAAUGACCAUUUUUAUGAUAAAAUGCUGCUAUGAGGAUUGUGAAAUAUAUUGGAUCCGAUCCAUGCGGAAAGUGUUGGGCUGACCAUUGUUCCUGACCAUUCGUUCAGCGUUUGUACAAGCAAUUUACACAUGGAUCGAAUAGUUUUUUAAAAUGUAUAUACAUAAUAUGAUGUAAUGUGGUUGUAUUAAAUAAUCUC